AAAAAUAUAUAUUCUUCUAUUACUAUGAAGUGGGUAAAAUAUUACUACUUUUGCUAUAAGUUAUAAUUUUAAAAAAGUGUUGUUAUUUAUUAUAAUUAUAGUCUUGUCUCUGUAAUUUUUCCUACUUUUUAAUUAGGCCCAUGACCCGACCCAAGCUCAAUUUACUUAUAAAAAUUAAAGCGGUUACCAGGUGAAUGCACGACUUCUCCUACUCCAAUUUCUGAAACACUUGAAACUACAAUAAUCAUCCAUUUUAAAUCACAUUCAAUCCCCCACUAACUUUUCAGCUCCUUCUCUUUGCGAUUUAAAUCCUGCAAACCAUCUCAUUGUUCUAUCAUUCACUUCAUUAAGUCCUCUUUAUUGAAAAAUCAAUUCUUUUUUUUCUUUGGUUAAUUUUUAUAAAGUUCAAGUAAUUGGGAAGUUGCAUUACAAGCCCAGGUGUGUUUCUUAGCCAUUGAUUCUUCAUAGGGUUACCCUUUUAAUGGUUGAAAUGAUUAGUAUGGGUAGAUUUGUUCUCCAACUUGUUUUUAUGAGUAAAUAAAAGGAGUGUUUGCUUUAUAAUGUUGGAGUUUGUAUGGGUUGAAGGUUGAGUAACACUAUUAUAGCAUGAAUAUUGAUGGAAUUUCGAGUGAAAUUUGAGAUUUCUAUCGAAUUAAAAGAACAGGCACACCAAGUGUUCGACAGAAUGCCCAAAAAAAUAUAAAAUUGAAUUAUGGCUUACCGACGAACAGACUAACGGAUUGUCCCCUUUGCGAUGGGUCAUCGUUGUAUCCAUAGGCGAAGCAUUAACUAUUAAUGGUUCUUGGAUACCAUUGAUAGUCGAAGUGACGGACCAUCAACUCUGUGAAAGACCGUUAGUUUCACCAUCGUAUGGUCACUAAAACACUGCCUGAGGGCGAUGAUCUAGGCGAUGGCCUAUCGCAACUGCAAUUUCCCGUCAACUCGACCGUCGACCUUUAAGUAGAAUCAAAAUUCUUUUCUUUUUUUCUCACUAAUAGCUAUGUGUGCUGUUUUUCUCCUAACUAAGGUAAUAUGACUUAGAAGCUGCCUUCGAGGAGAGAUGGGGGUUGAUCUUGACCAACCCGUAAAACCACAACCUCAAGGACCAGAAAUGAACUGGAAGGCAAUACUGUGGACCCAGCCUACCACACUCAUCAAAGCAAAAAAAAAAUAAAAUCAACCACCCCCAAUUUUGAUGAGGAAAGUGAAUUAUCGAGUGUGGGGGCUAACAGUGAAAGUAGCAGUGAGAAUAAUGGCAGUUCAAGCUCAAGCUCUGAGGUUGAAGGAGGAAAACAGGUCACCGCUGAUCCUAAAAUAGAUCCAGAAUAUGAAGAGGGCGAUCUAAUCAGGAGCAAGGACCCAGAGGUUCAGGAAUCUAUUAGAUGGAAAGUUAAGGAUUCGAAGAAACACUUCUGUGAUGGGCUCCAAUCGAAUCAAAGUAGAAAUAUGAAGAGGCCCAUUGCAGAAGAACAUCAAAUUGUCACAACUGGCCUUCAUGAGUACCCGGACCUAGAAAGAAGAUUCAAUGAAUAUGAAUUGGGAUGUCUGUGAAAGCCUCCAGGAUCAUACUACCCAAAUAUAGCUCGUGAAUAUUUUGCUAAUUAUAUGGUGAUACUGGAGAAAGAUUGCCUGAAAGGAUCAAGAGUGGAAGAUAAGAAAAAUAGUACAAGAGUUCUAGUGAGAAGGGUGACAGUUAAUAUAAAUGAUCUCAACCAAAUCUUGUUUAGUUCGAAGUACAAUGCUCACACUAUCACACCAGAGCUUGAGCAUCUGAUGGCCACAACACCUGAUCAGCGACUAUGGCUAGCUCGUGUUUUGGUAGAUGAUAGAAAUCCGUCAUGGUUGCAACACAGAGAAAGAAUUGCAAAAUCAUCCUUAAGCUUUAGGGCAAAGUUUUAGUUGGUCCAUUGUCAGGCUAAGGCUAAUAUCGAUGGGAGGAGAUACAAAUCUUAACCCCUAGAGAGUAGUGUUGGUGCCAUGCUUGAUAGAAGGAUUGAAGAUUGAUUUUGGGUAGAUAAUUAGUGAUGAAAUAUUUUUGUGGGCAUACAAGACAUCCAGUGUACUACCAUUCCUAUGCCUAAUCACUGAGUUUUGCAGGAAAGCAAACGUGUCAACCAUCCGAGGAGUGGAUAAUGAGAUUCGAGCUACGAGGAGGCAAGAUAUUGAAAAGACGAAGGAUGACACAAAGUUUGAGAUGAGUGUUCAUAAGCCUUCAACAUUUGGGACACAAUCUGAACCUACACCAGAGGCAUAAGAUGCACCAUCAGGUAUGUCGUUUCCUUAAUCUACUAUUGUUCUACACGGUAAUUCUGCAACUUUUGGGUCCAUACCUACACCUUCAAUGACAGACACAGCAGAUACCACUUCCAUGCCACCAAGAUACUCGGAUUACAGGAUAACCCAGAAGAUAUUUGUAAAAAUGGUUAAAGCACAAUAGAAAUUUGAGUGGCAGUUGAAUAUAUAGGCAAAAGAGUUUAAAUUGUUUGCGAACAGACUAGUGGCUAAGGCUAUGAAGUUGUGUGAGAACCUGCACGUGCGAAUGGAUGACAUGGAGGAGUGAGUGAAUAACAAGUUGAGAGAGAUUUUAAUUCUAGACUUAGCCAGGUUCACAGCCGAGCUAAAAUAAGAACAGGUUGAUAUGCGGAGUUGAAAAGGCAACCAGGUCUGAGCAUCUUUGAUUUGGCUUUAGUAUAAAUUGAUAAAGAAGUAGAUAUUGUGGACCUCAUUGGUAGACAGAUGAAAGAUAAGGGAAAAGUUGUACUAAAAGUGUUGAGAAAUAGCUGUCUAGGAAGAGAAGACAUCAAGAUGAGACACCAGAGGAAAGGGCAGUGUAAAGAGCAAUGAGAAGAUCAAGAAUAGAUGAAGAAGCAAGAAUAAACGAGUUGAAGAUGAAGUUGCAAGCGUGUCCACUAGUGAGGGUUAAUAAAGUGGACACAGGCCAGCUCCACUACCUAUUCCUACUCAAGUCACUGAGGAAGUGGCUAAUUUGAGCACCCCGGUCACCGUCGAGGUCACUACUACUGUUGCUGAGGCCAGGGAGGCCUCUCAUGACUCGACAGAUUCACAAGCCUAAUAGUUGUUCAAGUAUUCUACUCCCUUGUACUUUAUUUAGAAUCCAUUGAGGACAAUGCAUAUAUUUUAGUGCAGGGUGGGUGCUUGUGUGAAAUCUGUCACCAUGGGAGUUUUUGUUGCCUGUGUUCUUUUCCCUCGUGCGCUAUCUAAGAGAAUUGGCAUGUUUAGAAUUUUAUUGUAUUGUAUGUUUUUAUUGUUUUCAUGUGAUUAUAAAUAUGCAUUAUUUUAUUACUUCUACACUGUAUGUUUUAUUGUUUUCAUGUCAUUAUAAAUAUGCACUAUUUUAUUUCUCUGGUAUGUACAUAUUGUGUGUGUUGAAAGAUAAUGAUUGAAUGAAAAGUUGUUGAACUAUUGGAUUCAUUGGAUUUUGAUAAAUAAGAACUACCUUCAAAACUAUUUGUUUGUAUAUACCUUGUGAUGAUUGACCCUUGUGGAUCUAUGCUUGGCAUUGGAAUCUUUAGACUGAGCAAACAUGUUUCUGUUUAGCACAAUUCUAAAAAUUAGUAGCAUAAGUAUUAGUUCAUUAUUGGUGCAUGUGAGGAUUUGAUGCAUUUCUUACUUGGUGUAUACAGCUAGAACUUUGUCUGUUCAAUUUUGUGAAGUGAUACAUGAUUAAAUGGGUUCGGAUCACAGGCCAUCUUCCAGACAAGUCCACCUAGCUUUAAAAGUCUAACCUAAACUAUAGAGGUGUAAUGAUACUUUUUAUUCAACACCUGAAACUUACCCUUCUUUAUUGUUAAAACUUUAUUUUGGCCCUAGUCCCUCCUUGGACAUUGUGCACCUCAACUCGAGCAAAUUAUCUAAGUUGAGGGUGGCUACUAUAGAAAGUGAACGAAUGAAGGAUAGUUUGAGAAGUUCAUGUACCUGAGAAUAAUGAAGUGAUAAGAUCUCAAAAUGUUAUGUCACAUUGUGAACCGAUACUAAAUGAUAUAUCAUCAAUAUCUUUGACUCAAUAUUGACGCAAUAUUAUGAAAGAUUACGAGGAUCUUAAUUCUACGUUAAUUUAAGCAUGCUAACGUAGAAACAUUUAUCAAGUGACAUGAAAGGAUGCAUCUUGGUAAGUGAAAACUUAUUUGAUUUGCAGUCCAGACACUUGAAGAUGUCACACAUAAAAUGUUGAAAAUUGUCACUUUGAUAAAAUUUGUAUGAAAACUUCUUUAAGGAUUCAAAAUAUAAAAGUUUUUGGAAACUUAUUGAAAAUCCUUAUAUUGUAUAAGCUUAUAGCUUGUAAAUUAUUGAAACUCUUGGAGAGUUUUCAAAAGCAAUAAGAUUAUUUGCUGAAAUGAGAAAUAUACCAAUUUGGAUUGGUUAUGAAGUAUCAUAUCUUAGUAUAAUUGGUGCACUCAUGUAUCUUAUAAAAAACUACAAGACCCAAUAUAGCAUUUUGCUCAAUUUGUUAGCAAGGUAUAUUUCUACUCCUACUAGGAGACAUCGAAAUGGGAUAAGAUGCAUGAGCUUAUUUUAUUCUAAAUAUUACAGUCCCGAUCUUACUAGUCAUGCUGAUAUUGGGUACUCAUCUAACCCGCAUAAAUCUCGGUCUCAAACAUACAAUGUGUUUACAUGUGGGGAUAUUGCCAUAUCUUAGAGAUAUACAAAGCAGUCUAUCAUAACCACUUCAUCGAAUCAUGCUGAGAUAAUAGCUAUUCAUGAAGCAAACCAAGAAUGUGUAUGGUUGAGGUCCAUGAUACAUCUCAUUCGAGAAAAAUAUGGUGUGAAAUAUGACUAUCUACCCACAAUUUUAUGUAGAGAUAAUUCAGUAUACAUAGCAUAUCUUAAGGGAGGAUUCAUAAAUGGAGAUAGAACGAAGCACAUUUUGCCAAAGCUUUUCUACAUACACGAGCUACAAAAGAAUGAUGAUAUUAACGUGCAACAGAUUCGUU
rnacentral:lncRNA from 1 species